rnacentral:lncRNA from 1 species
CGUUGGUCCCUUUUAAUAGGACUUACAUCAGUAAAUUUGAAUGUUUGUUCUUGCUUACAACCGGAAUUUCCAGGUCCUGGCCAGAUAUGCAGAAAGGAAUUAAGGGUUUGGAUAGUUUUUCGAUAUAAUUUGAAGCUGUUUAUCAUCUCAUCGUUUAAGAAUCGCUCCCCUUUCCGCACACCCAUUGCUGCCUCCCCUCGGGCUCGGUACGAGAGUCCCUGCGCCAAGCCAGGUUGCUCUGGGCCAGUUCGCGCUCCCGCGCCUCCGCGCUCGUCCACUCCUAUCCUCCUCAUCUCUUUCGAGCCAGUCUCUGAAUUUUUCGUUUAAAGCCGGUGGCAUUUCCGCGUGGAGAUGAAAAGGCAAGUGGCAGAGGUGGGUGCAGGUGCGAGUGGCUGCUGCGGGUGCGGCUGGCUGGCUGGCGGCGGUGGCGCGGCGGCUCCUUCCGGCGCCGGGGGCUACUCGGCGCCGGUUCGGCGCACGUGGCUCUCGGCCCCGCGGCAGCCGGAGCGGAGAGCUAGGGCGUCCUCCCCUGUCGGCGGCUCCGGCCUGGAGUCCUUACAAGCCGCGUCCGGCCGGGAGGGGAAGAGGAAUGCCGGGGGUUGGCCGGAGACUCGGAGUAACGCUCCCAGCCCUACGGCUCGGGAGGGCGGGCCCUGCGCCGAGCCCUGCCAAGCUCCCGGGGCCUCCUCCGCGACCGAAGGUUGUCCAGAGGCGCCGCGGGAUGGAGGGUCAUCUAGCAAAGGAGGCUGA